CACGUAGGGUGCGAGCGUUGUCCGGAAUUAUUGGGCGUAAAGAGCUCGUAGGCGGUGUGUCGCGUCGGCCGUGAAAACCUGCAGCUUAACUGUGGGCUUGCGGUCGAUACGGGCAUCACUGGAGUUCGGCAGGGGAGACUGGAAUUCCUGGUGUAGCGGUGAAAUGCGCAGAUAUCAUGAGGAAGACCAGUGGCGAAGGCGGGUCUCUGGACAGUUCCUGACACUGAGGCACGAAGGCCAGGGGAGCAAACAGG
rnacentral:rRNA from 1 species